GACGAACGCUGGCGGCGUGCUUAACACAUGCAAGUCGAACGGAAAGGCCCUGCUUUUGUGGGGUGCUCGAGUGGCGAACGGGUGAGUAACACGUGAGUAACCUGCCCUUGACUUUGGGAUAACUUCAGGAAACUGGGGCUAAUACCGGAUAGGAGCUCCUGCUGCAUGGUGGGGGUUGGAAAGUUUCGGCGGUUGGGGAUGGACUCGCGGCUUAUCAGCUUGUUGGUGGGGUAGUGGCUUACCAAGGCUUUGACGGGUAGCCGGCCUGAGAGGGUGACCGGCCCCAUUGGGACUGGGAUACGGCCCAGACUCCUACGGGAGGCAGCAGUGGGGAAUAUUGCACAAUGGGCGGAAGCCUGAUGCAGCAACGCCGCGUGCGGGAUGACGGCCUUCGGGUUGUAAACCGCUUUCGCUUGUGACGAAGCGUGAGUGACGGUAAUGGGUAAAGAAGCACCGGCUAACUACGUG
rnacentral:rRNA from 1 species